rnacentral:rRNA from 1 species
CACGUAGGGGGCGAGCGUUGUCCGGAUUUAUUGGGCGUAAAGAGCUCGUAGGCGGUGUGUCGCGUCGGCCGUGAAAACUGUGGCUUAACUAUGGGCUUGCGGUCGAUACGGGCAUCACUGGAGUUCGGCAGGGGAGACUGGAAUUCCUGGUGUAGCGGUGAAAUGCGUAGAUAUCGUGAGGAAGACCAGUGGCGAAGGCGGGUCUCUGGACAGUUCCUGACGCUGAGGCGCGAAGGCCAGGGGAGCAAACGGG